rnacentral:rRNA from 1 species
AUGAAGGAGAGCUAUGAGGCGGAACUUUCUGAGAAGGACUCGCAGCUCAAUGAUUUGAAGGCCAAUAUCAAAACUCAGCAAUCGGAGACAUCCAAGGCCAAGUCAGAACUAAAAUCUACUUUGGAGACUAUUGAGCAGCUAAAACAGAACUUCAACUUUGCAAAAGAUGGGUGGGAAACUAAAAAGGCAGCUCUAUUUAAGAGAGAAGAAGAAGCUGAAACCACGCUUAAACCGGUGACUGAGGAGUUAUCCGGCUUAAAGCAGCAGAUUAAUAUUAUGUCAUCAGCCAUCUUCGGUUCUCGGAGCGCUAAAUUGGGCUCAGACAUGCGCAUCCGGCUUAAGGCUGUUUACACUCUUAUAGAGAAUUAUAUACUGGUGCCCAAUGAACCAUCGCUGCUACGCUGCACAAGAAAUCUCCUUCAACACUUAUCAAAGAUACACUGA